rnacentral:rRNA from 1 species
UACAGAGGUCUCAAGCGUUGUUCGGAUUCAUUGGGCGUAAAGGGUGCGUAGGCGGUUUGGCAAGUCUGAUGUGAAAUCUAUGGGCUCAACCCAUAGUCUGCAUUAGAAACUGCCGGGCUUGAGUAUGGGAGAGGUGAGUGGAAUUUCCGGUGUAGCGGUGAAAUGCGUAGAUAUCGGAAGGAACACCUGUGGCGAAAGCGGCUCACUGGACCAUUACUGACGCUGAUGUACGAAAGCUAGGGGAGCAAACAGG